GGUGGCACUGGUUGAGCCUAAGGCAACGCCGGUUUUCAAUACCGAUCCCAAUCCUCUGGACAAGGAUGCCCUGGCGCAAGCCCAGGUGUUGCUG
rnacentral:tRNA from 1 species